AGUGCCCUUCUCACAGAAAAAGCAUCCCACGACGCUGUCACCGGCGGUGCCCGUCCCUGCUUCUGGGCCCUGGCUUUGCUGCUCCGCAGCCGCUUUCCUCCCCGCCCCCCCGGCGGACUGGACUCUGGACCCGGUGCCGCUCUGCCAGGCUUUGGGGACGGGUUUGGUCCCGGAGCCGUCUGCUGCUGGAGGAGGCAACACGGGAGCGUGGUCUGGCAGGUGCCUGGGAGGCUGGGAUGUCCCUGCUCUGCCCUGCCGCCUGCCUAAGGCGUGAUCCCCACACCGGAAAGUCCCGGUCGCAGCGGGAGAACAAAGUACGGCCGGGCGAUCGGCGGGGAAAGCGAGCAGGGCAACGUUCUGUUUUGCGUCGGGUUUCACAGAACCGAAAGCCGGUCCUCUUCCCCUGCAGGCGAACGGGAGGCAGCUCGCAUUUUGUGAGGCUCCACGAGGGACCGCAAACAGGCGGCUCUGGCUGCACUAAGGAGUGCAGCAAAAGGUUUCUCACCGGCUCAGCCACUUGUUUGGUUGCAGUGAGGAUGCCUAGAUGCAGAUUAGGAGCCAGCAGUCACAUCAGUGAAAUGAGAAACCCUGAUUUCAUUGUUUGGCUGCUAGAGGGAACAUGAUGUUUCAUGGACUCAGAACCAAGAUGGGUCAUGGACAAAGAGGAGAUUUUGCAGGGAUUGGGAAUAUUUUACAAAUAAACAUUAAAAUUAAAAAAAAACA
rnacentral:lncRNA from 1 species